UACGGGGGGGGCAAGCGUUGUUCGGAAUUACUGGGCGUAAAGGGCUCGUAGGCGGCCAACUAAGUCAGACGUGAAAUCCCUCGGCUUAACCGGGGAACUGCGUCUGAUACUGGAUGGCUUGAGGUUGGGAGAGGGAUGCGGAAUUCCAGGUGUAGCGGUGAAAUGCGUAGAUAUCUGGAGGAACACCGGUGGCGAAGGCGGCAUCCUGGACCAACACUGACGCUGAUGCGCGAAAGCCAGGGGAGCAAACGGG
rnacentral:rRNA from 1 species